rnacentral:rRNA from 1 species
UACGAAGGGGGCUAGCGUUGUUUGGAAUUACUGGGCGUAAAGCGCGCGCAGGCGGUUCUUUAAGUCAGGGGUGAAAGCCCAGAGCUCAACUCUGGAAUUGCCUUUGAAACUAGAGAACUUGGGUACGGGAGAGGUGAGUGGAAUUCCGAGUGUAGAGGUGAAAUUCGUAGAUAUUCGGAAGAACACCAGUGGCGAAGGCGGCUCACUGGCCCGUUACCGACGCUCAGGCGCGACAGCGUGGGGAGCAAACAGG